UCGGGAAUUUUGGGCAAUGGGCGAAAGCCUGAUCCAGCCAUGCCGCGUGGAUGAUGAAGGCCUUAGGGUUGUAAAAUCCUUUCGCCGAGGACGAUAAUGACGGUACUCGGAGAAGAAGCUCCGGCUAACUUCGUGCCAGCAGCCGCGGUAAUACGAAGGGGGCUAGCGUUGUUCGGAUUUACUGGGCGUAAAGCGCAUGUAGGCGGGCCGUUAAGUUAGGGGUGAAAUCCCGAGGCUCAACCUCGGAACUGCCUCUAAAACUGGCGGCCUGGACCUAAGUAGAGGCAAGUGGAAUUGCGAGUGUAGAGGUGAAAUUCGUAGAUAUUCGCAGGAACACCAGUGGCGAAGGCGACUUGCUGGACUUAUGGUGACGCUGAGAUGCGAAAGCGUGGGGAGCAAACAGGAUUAGAUACCCCCGUAGUCCCUGAGCGGGCUGGCAAGGCGCAU
rnacentral:rRNA from 1 species